rnacentral:rRNA from 1 species
AUCUUCUUUGACUAGGCUUGUCAAUAGCGGGUAGCUGUUUAAAGUCAAAUUAGGGGUGAUAAAUAAAUCGGUGGUUAUUAUAUCUAUUUUAGGGGUAAAACUUUCGGUUAAGAGGCUGGGUGAAGAGAUCUAGCCUCGUUUUAUAUCUUGUGUGUCUGUCUGAUUUCCUAGGGUUAGGGUUACCCGUGGGGUUUUAUAAUGUUAUAAUUUCUCUAUAAUAGUCUUGUGAUUAGACCACACACUCCUAUUUAUUAACUUUUGUCAGUUAUUUAUGGGUUAAUUAGUAAUUAUAUCAGUCCCCUUUUAUCUCGGGCCUGGUCCGACUGUUUAUUAAAAACAUUUCCACCCGUUAGGGUUGGGUGGUGUAACCUGCCCUGUGAUUAGUUUAACGGCCGCAGUAUUGUGACUGUGCGAAGGUAGCAUAAUUAAUUGCCCCGUAAUUGGGGGCUUGUUUGAAUGGUUUAACGUGAUCAGUGUUUAAAAUAGGGUCUUUAGGUGAAGUUAAUUUGACGAGUACAGAAUCUGUCGAGAUUAGUAAGACGGAAAGACCCCAGGAUCUUUUAUUUUUGUUUGGGGCGAAUUUUGUUGUUUCAACAAUUUUAGGACCCUCGGUUUAAAGGUUUAAGUUACCCUGGGGAUAACAGGGUUAUAGUCC